UGGUGGAACCACCAAUUAAUAUGGAGAACUAGGCCAUCUGGGCCAAGUUCCCCAGGCAUGGAGACGCGGAGGGGAGGGGACAAAAGUCUCUCACAAGUCGCCACUAGGAAAGAGGGUGGCAGAGCAGAGAGCCCUUCAAAAGUUCAGCUGUGCUGGGCGUCUGAUCUUCCUUCCAAGACCGCUCGCCAGGGAGCCCCGCGGGUUUCAGCUUCCACUCAAAAAUGAGAAAACAGGGCCACAGCAAAAGAGACCUGCCUAAGUUCACAGACCAUGGCAAUGUCUGGAACCCAGGACUCCACUCCCAGUUCAAUCCUUCUCCCAACCCGAAUUCGUCCUGAGAGUUCAUAAAGAUGUGUUCCUGGAAUGUCUUCACCAGAUGUUUACCCAAGAAAUUACAGUCGCAGAGUCUUCAACAUGUGCGUGCAUUUUGAUAGCAGCAUUUAAGAUCUGAACUCAAUUAAUGAUUUUCUUGUCCUUCUUUUAUUAAAAAAAUGAAAGGGUGGGGGCAUGUUAGUUUUGCCUGCAAGUGAGUCUUUACCGAGUCUGCGUUAACGUCACUCACUCACUCUGCGACGUGCUAGUCUCACAGUCUAGUUUUGUUCAGACUUUAUUUUGCUCCAAGCUGCCUUACAAGCCACUUGUCCACGCUGCAAAAGGUGGGGGUAGUGGUAGGGGUGAGGGGCUCUUUGGCUCUUUUUUCCCCCGGUUCCUAUAUGUGAUGCAAUCUGGAAUCAUUUCACUUGGCCCUCCGCGCGCGCAGAGACGCGCGCGCGCACACACGCACACACGUGUACCAUGCAUGUGUGGGCCCCUAUAGAACGGUGUAGACGCGCGUUUGUGAUUUAAAGUGGCAGGACCGAGA